CCAAAUCUAUCAAGCAAAAAAUGCUAGGAUAUAACGUGGCCAAAUGUGAUCUCAUCCUUUGCCACUCUAUGCCUCAAGCUAGUGAGGGUCAUGAAUUGCCUACUCAUGUCUCCAAUCACCAUAUGCCCGCAAGGUCUAUCCAAUGGCAGCAUCAUCAAACAUGCGUACUCCUCUAGAGUAGGAGUCAACUCCUGGGUCCCAAAUCGGAAAACAUGCCUCUUCG
rnacentral:lncRNA from 1 species